GAAGGCAAGGAAACGCUGGAUAAACUUAAGUUCAAGAUACGGUACGGUGCGGUUCUGCUAUUUCUGAAAAAUGAAACCAUGCAAAUAUGCCUAGCGGACAACGUACUCAGUGCAGAAGCAGAGCCGCAUUAAAUAAAGAGCAUCGCAGGUUCCAGGCGACACUACGGAAGCGGUCGCACGUCACGUCGACACUUCUGUGCCCUCCGAGGUAACUUUGCGGCUAUAGCAUUUCUCAAGGCCGCGGAUUUGAUCCAAACCGCGGCAUCCGCAUUUCAACGGGGGUGAAAUAGAAAACGCACGUGCAGUUACAUUUUGGGAAAUGUUAAAGAACACCACAAUGUCAAAUUAAUCCGGAGUCCGCCACUACAGCGUGCCUCAUAAUGCGAUUGUGGUUUUGGCAGGUACAGCUCGAUAAUCCAAUUCAAGUUUUGUACUUCUGCCACGAUUCAAUGUGUCAUGUGAGUCAAUGAUAAUGCUCAAACCUCUCACAGGUUAUAAAAUAUGGCGCACAACAAUGCCUCGGACAAGGACCUCUUCCUGUGUGUUCUGUGUACUAUGCAAACAAACAGCAGUGGUGCAGACAAGGUAAGGUUUAAUAUUAACUCACCACUCUCGUGUUAGAAUAAACGUUGAAGAAAUUAAGCUUUCGCCGUCAACAUCACCGCUAAUUAUCGUAAAUCAAAGAAACCAGCACAGAAAUGUUUGAUUAUAUGGAUUGCAAUAGUACGUGUGAUCGGCAUAAUUUUUAACCUUUGAUUUGUGCGUUGCCGUUGUGCAUUGUGCUAAUUAAAUGCGCAGACGAAAUUCGCAGACAAACCGGAGCCAGCACGGAGGGUCAGGCGCCUUCCUCGUUCGCUUGCUUCGCAGUUUCAAACAAACACCGCCGACUUCACGUGCUGGUCAGUAACGUUUGCGCGUGAGAAAGCGUAACCAAGCACCAACAAAAUAACAUUUAUUCAUGACUUAAAUGAUAUUUCGCGACAAAAAGACGACACGGACGUGAGAGAAGACGACACACCAAGCGCAAUAUCAUUUAAGUAAUGGAUUACCAACUUGCCCGGGAUGCUGCUCUCAUAUAUUCAUGCUUUGGGAAAGCUACAUGUGUAACUUCUGCUAGAGCUGUGGGGCAGGGGAUAUUACGUCUUAAUUUUGCAAUCGGUAAGGUGGAAAAUCGGGAGAGCUGGUUUUGCAUCAUGAGGUCAUAAGAGCGCGAACUGAAACAUAUGUACCAAGUAAGGGACACACGCGGACGAGCGCUAGCUUUCAACUAUUUGAUUUUUUUUAUUGAACGGAUUUCUAUUCAAAGAGGAAAAGAAAGGUCGUGGCGUGACAGAAAAACAAAAAAAAACAAGAAAAAGCCGUCAAUUGGGAAAACAAACAUAUACAGAAACCAAAGCACGAAAUCGUCAAGGUACGCAUGCCUGUGCUUUCUAAAAAAUAAUUAUUGUUUUUCUGACAAUGCAACAGAAGACCUACUAACACAAUUAUCAUCCCGCGCCAUGCACGCAGCCUCAGCGCUAGUGCGAGUUCAUCCGUCCUGAUACCUAGUCACCACGCGGGGUAUCUGAACUCCAGUUUUCACCCACAGUCAAAAAAUAAGUAAAUAAAUAAAGAAGCCGGCAGUUGGAAGUUAGCGCUUGUCCCCGUGUGUCUCAAUUUCUUUGAGUAUAUGUUUUAGUACGCGCUGCUAUGACCUUAUUUUGCGCUCGGAUUCGCUCCCUAUUUCUAUGGGUCCACUUCUUUUGCUGAGGGUGUGUGGGAACUAGGGUAACGAAAUGGCGCCCCUACUGGUGACGCCGAGACUGCCCUGCUCCGCCGCUGGAGCGCGCUGCGCUCCCUUUAGAGGCGGACACGUCCCGCUGUGGUGAAACGUGCUGAAAAGCCAUCGGUCUCGCUGCCCGAGUCUCUCUAUGCCCAUGUUGAGCCGCACUUGUCGAACGGGGGCGGAGAGGGGGAGAGGGGCAUAGCUGAGCUAGCGAGAAGUUUUCGCAACAUAUUGCACGCCUGUACGCUUUAAAGCUUCUGAUGAACCUCUAUAUUAGUUUGAUAAUUUAUCCCUACCACAUAUGGCUUAAUGAGCUCUUUGAAACGUGAUCUUUCCUGCUCCAAUAGACAAAUGUACUGCCGAAGCCCUGUCUAAACGCCAAGCGCCAGGCUAAAUUUAGCUCCGCUCGCGUCAUGCGUGUUGUGUCAAUGGUGCGAUCUGCGCACGCGACACAUAUAUUCUCGACUAAUAGCUUCUUUCCUGUUCACCCUAAGGACUGUGGAAAGUAUCGCAGGAGGAAAGGGGCUGAUUUACACCUCAAAGCAUUGUUCUACUCUCGCAAAUGUCGAGUGCACCGAAAUGCAUUACUCACUCCGUCAGAAAGGAGAUAGCGAAAUGCUAUUUUCAAUCUGCCCUUCUGAGAGGAAGUACAAUGCGCGUUCAACUGUCACGGCAAUAGAGAACAAAACACAGCACAAGCUCCUGCUUUAACUGUAGGAAACUGACCCUCACUCACGCACGCACGCUGAACAAAGAGCACACCGUUUUGCUUCUAAGAGAACAGGCAGCCACAUUGCAAAGGAUAGCGGAGCUCGCGCUCUACUUUUUUACUCGGAGUUACCCCACCGCGCGCGCUCACAACUUCGAGGAGCAGUACAGCACCGGAGCAAGACAAUCCUUCCAGCGGGUCCAGCCAUUGUUCCAGCGUGCAGGAACCAAGGCCAUCCAAGGGGGAACGUGUCAUCCAUCUUGCGCCGCCACGAGAACAUGACAGUCGUUCUUCAUUCGUUGUAUAUAACAAGAAAUUUUUCACGGCACCCCCUUUAUAUGGCGCAAGAAGGCAGCUGCAAAGACACAAGGAUGUCAAGGAACCAGUCCAGCACGACUCCACAUGGUGCAAAGGAGCGCACUCCAAAGCAUCAAAUUGCAUUGCCAUGCAAUUUGGACGAGAAAACUAGAAUGUGAGCGUAUUGGGUCUGCGAUUUGACUAAAUGAGACCAAAACUUUCAGAAGACAGUGUGUCAUACCAAGACGAUAAUUCUCACGUGCUCUUGGCAGCCAUCUUGACAUAGAAUUUUUUGUAAUGUAUCUGAUGGGAAAGUCAAGCUUAAAUAUGCUUUCUGAGACAAACACAUAGGAGCAAGUCUCAUUCAAAAGUUAGAAAUAUGUUUUAAAGAAAAGCUUAUUAGUUUUGCGAGAAGUGACCAUUUUUUCUCUUGCCUCUCAACAGAUAUAUCCAUGUUACAAAAAAAUAGUGGUACAAUAACAUCGCAGGUUUGCUUAGUGACAUAAUACAUACUUGCAAUGAGCAUGGUGCCUGUGUUGACUACAAGAAGCAACGGCGCAUGCUUGGUUAGCUGCUAACAUAAUUUAACAGCACGUAAAUACAAGCGUGCUGUCAUUCUGUAUUUUAAAUGCUGACAUGAUGCAGACAGAUAUUCAUGUUUUGCCUUUUACCAUUUUUUGACCUUAAUUUAUAACUAUGGCUUCCUCCUAAGUUCCAGGAAGGGGAUGCAUUGGGAGUAGAGUACUCCCGGUUUAAGAAGUCAUCGUUUACGUACGUGCUCACGGAAUCAGCUCAUUAGAACCACUCGUGGCUCCUGAAGCGGGAGCAAGGAGCAAGGUCUUUAGCAACUAUACACCCUAGGUCUUAAUUAGAAGCCACAGAGUCGCUUUGAAUUGAAAACUUACUUUGGCACAUGUAAAACUGUGGUUUCUUCUUCUGUGAAAUAGUCAUAUGCGUGCUCCUGGCAGGCAUUUGAGAUUUUGAUUAGGAUGACUCAAUUUACGUGCCAGCCAAAUCUCCUAGCGGAGGCAGAGAGGUGUUUAAUGCAAAGAAUUGUGAAAGAAACUGUGUGGAACACUUGUUCAUCAAUUGGCAGAUGUCAACAUAUAGUGUCAACCAAGCAAAAGCCCCUUAGAUGGAUGGCUUCUGCAGGCAAAAUAAAGUGCAAUCAUUUUUGCACAUUGUAAUUUUGUUGACUCAAAAUAAAGUGCACAGUGAGGUAUUGUAUUGGUAUUCGCAGACACAUGUAUACUUGCUUUGGGACGAAGACAAUAUUCUGUGAAGUUGGUCCAUAGCAAAAGUAACGCAUAGCCGCAUGCAAAACCCACGAGCACUGAAAGGAUAUGUAAAACAGGAUGGUGCCUUUCCCAAUUAAAGAUUUGCUUCUUUGUUUGUCUUUGUCGUGCCGUGCCUGUACUUAUAUAUAUCUCGCCUUUGAUGCAUCAUAUUCAUCACAUCUUAUUCUUGGUUCACGUCCGAAGCCAUGUUGUACUAUACACCGCCAAAGCUCGACUCAGUUUCUAACCUUAUUUCCACUACAGAUAGCAACGUUCUCAUUCUAACGCAAACUUGGUUAAACACAGCCAUUGACAACACCGAAAUUCAGAUUGUCUUUACCGACUUCCAUAUCUUCCGUUGCGAUCGUUAUGUGAGGCGAGGAGGAGUGUUAAUAGCCACUAGCCGUAACCUUCAUUGUUUCAAAAUUGAUAUCUCCUCUCCAUUGGAAAUAUUGUUUGUGGAACUAAAAAUUCUCACCCACCCUUAAUAUUAGGAUCUUCAUAGCGUCCUCCUGAUGCUGAUUCAAGCGUUGUUGCAUGCUUCGACGAGGCACUUUACCCUCUGGCACAUUCUUUUCCUAACGCACCAAUCAUUCUGUUCGGUGAUUUCAACUUUGCAACAAUAGUAUGGUAUGACAUAGCACUGACAUUAUCGAAGCACAACGAAGAAACUCAAUUUAUUGACACGUGUCUUACGUUUGGCUUAUCUCAGUUCAUUUUCAACCCAACAAGGCAUAUAAAUCAAUCGUCCAGCUCGCUCGACCUCUUGUUUACCACGCAUCCUGACUUUCCUGAGCUAACAUUUUUGCUCGGGCUUAGUGAUCAUGCUGCAAUUCACGCUACUUAUCAAUUUCAUAUAGCAUAUCCCUCCAAAAUAAGAAAGACCAUAACGCUCUACGACAGAGGUGAUUAUGUCGCGUUCAAUGAAAAGUUAACUCAGUUCAGUUACUCCUAUCUCGAAACGUUUAUUUGUCGUUCCGUUGAAGAUUACUGGUUAAUCUUUAAAUCCAAAAUGCAGGAACUAACGAAAGCCCACAUUCCUACCAUCACUGUAACUGAACGGCCCUCAUCGCCUUGGUUUGAUAAAGCAUUAAAACGCCUGAACAAUAAAAAGGAAAGGCUCUAUCGUAUCGCCAAGCAAUCUAACAUGCCACGCGCAUGGGAAAAGUACCGCUGCAUUGACAAAAUGUUUCAGUCACAAGCUAACACAACUAAGCAAUCAUUCUUUUCAACCUCACUUCCUGAUAUGCUACGCAAUACCCCUCGUCAAUUCGGGAAGGUUGUCAAUCCAUGCCCAAAGAAAUCGAUAAACAUACUUGAGAAAUAUGGCGUCCCUAUCCCUCAUACCGAACUUGCAACAACACUUCAUUCAAUAUUUUGUUCAGUUUUUACAUAAGAAUCUGAAGGCAAUCUUCCUCACUUUUACUAACCCUCAAUAUCCUCUCAUGCCAGCCAUCACGUUUGAACCUGAUGGCAUUUGCAGUCUAAUAGAAUCUUUGAAGCUAACUUCAUCGACUGGUAUUGACGAAAUUAACGCGAAAGUGCUUAAAAAUACAAAAAUGUCGCUAGUGUCAUCUUAUCACACAUUUUUCAACAGUCACUCUCGUCUGGAGUGGUGCCGCAGGACUGGAAGACAGGUAAGAUCAUUCCAGUCCCCAAAAAAGCUUCUUCAACGACAUGUCUUGACUACCGGCCAAUUUCCAUUACAAGUGUCUGUACCAAACUGAUGGAGCAUGUCAUCUUUUCCCACAUCAUCAAAUUUCUCAUUUCUAACAACAUUUUUUAUCAUAGUCAGCACGGAUUUCUUAAGAAUUUAUCUUGCGAUACUCAACUUGCAUUUUUUAUAAAUGGCAUCAGUUCCCAAUUAAACCUUAAUGUACCCGUAGAUCCGUUGUUUUUAGACUUCGAGAAAGCUUUUGAUAAGGUACCCCACAAUCGUCUUUUCUUGAAACUUUCAUCCUGAAUCUCAAUCCCCUAAUGUAUAAUUGGUUGCGCAGUUUUCUGUCCAGUCGGCAACAGUUCGUUUUUGCAAAUAACUUUUCAUAUCCUCUGUCUCCUGCGCUUUCUAGAGUUCCUAAAGGUUCUUUUCUUGGCCCCCUUCUCUUCUUAAUCUACAAUAAUGAUAUUCCUGAUUAUAUAUCUUCUAGCAUACACCUAUUUGCGGACGACUGUGUUAUUUACCUACCCAUUAACAAUAUCUCAGUUAUCCCUGUCCUACAGUGGGACUUACAAACAGUUCAAAAAUAAUGCAAGACAUGGUUAAUGUCAUGAAAUGUAAAUAAAACCUCAUUAAUCUCUUUCCAUUGUUGGCAUUCUUAUGUAGCACCCUCAUAUCUCUUAGGUAACUCGAUAAUAUCAUCUAUGGCGUGUUAUAAAUACCUAGGGCUUAUUUUAACGCACGAUCUUUCAUGGUCCUCUCACAUCGCUAAAGUAACUAACGAGGCUAACCGCACCUUAGGCUUUCUCAGGCGAAAUCUGAAAUUCGCCCCUCCUUCGGUAAAAACUUGCCUACAAAUAUGUGGUAACGCCCAAACUUGAAUACGCAUGCUCGGUUUGGGAACCUCAUCUUACUAAUCUUUCUAAUCUGUUCUAAUGUGUGUUUUGCAUCGGUCCAAAACCCCGCAGCCCGAUUUGUCUUCGAUGACUAUUCUUCAUAUACUAGUGUCACAGCGCUAAAAUAUAAUGUGAAUCUUUCUAGUCUAGAAACUAGACGUCAAGUGUCCAGGCUCAUUCUACAUCGCAAGUUUUACCAUGCCCCGAAUGGUAACAACGUCAUAUCACCCGCUCACCGCCAUUCAUCUCGGACUAAUCAUUCAAAGUCAGUAUAGCCCGCGCAUGCGCGCACAUCAUCCCAUCUGCAUUCGUUUUUCCCCCAUACAGUGACAGACUGGAAUGAUCUGCCUGAAGAAGCGGCGGACCACUCCAGUGCGACUGAGUUCAAGACUGCCAUCGAACACCUUCUUUGAAGCUGCCCACCCCUCAUGUAUAACCCUUCUCCAGGGGCAUUUCAGGAAUGAAUAAAUAAAUAAAUAAUUAAAUAAAUAAAUA